AUUGAACGCUGGCGGCAGGCCUAACACAUGCAAGUCGAACGAGUGGCGGACGGGUGAGUAAUGUCUGGGAAACUGCCUGAUGGAGGGGGAUAACUACUGGAAACGGUAGCUAAUACCGCAUACCAUCAGAUGUGCCCAGAUGGGAUUAGCUAGUAGGUGGGGUAAGGGCUCACCUAGGCGACGAUCCCGAGCUGGUCUGAGAGGAGGACCAGCCACACUGGAACUGAGACACGGUCCAGACUCCUACGGGAGGCAGCAGUGGGGAAUAUUGGACAAGGGGCGCAAGCCUGAUGCAGCCAGGCCGCGUGUGUGAAGAAGGCCUUCGGGUUGUAAAGCACUUUCAGCGGGGAGGCGUUACUCGCAGAAGAAGCACCGGCUAACUCCGUGCCAGCCGCCGCGGUAAUAC
rnacentral:rRNA from 1 species